rnacentral:rRNA from 1 species
GCCUACGGGGGGCAGCAGUGAGGAAUAUUGGUCAAUGGGCUAAGGCCUGAACCAGCCAAGUCGCGUGAGGGAAGACGGUCCUAUGGAUUGUAAACCUCUUUUGUCGGGGAGCAACGAGGCCACGUGUGGCCGAAGUGAGAGUACCCGAAGAAAAAGCAUCGGCUAACUCCGUGCCAGCAGCCGCGGUAAUACGGAGGAUGCGAGCGUUGUCCGGAUUUACUGGGUGUAAAGGGCGUGCAGCCGGGAAGACAAGUCAGAUGUGAAAUCCCGCGGCUCAACCGCGGAACUGCAUUUGAAACUGUUUU